rnacentral:rRNA from 1 species
GACGAACGCUGGCGGCGUGCUUAACACAUGCAAGUCGAGCGAAGUGGCGGACGGGUGAUUACUACGUGGGUACCCUGCCCUCCUUUUUGGGAUAAGCCUUGGAAACGGGGUCUAAUACCGCAUCAAGGGGAAUGGGCUAGCGGCCUAUCAGCUUGUUGGUGGGGGACUGGUCUAACAAGGCGGUGACGGGUAGCCGGACUGAUAGGGGGACCGGCAACAGUGGGACGGAGAUACGUCCCAGACUACGAAGGGGGGCAGCAGUGGGGGAUAUUGCAGAAGGGGCGAAAGACGGAUGCAGCGACGCUGCGUGGGGGAUGAAGGUGUUCGGGUUGUAAACCUCGGUCGCUAUCGAACGGUUAGGUGGAGAAGAAGCGCCGGCUAACUACGUGCCAGCAGCCGCGGUAAUAC